ACAAAAUUAAUUCCCUAUGAAAUCUUAUAUAGAGACAAAACCAUGAAAUUUUUCAACCCCAAGAAAAUUAAUGUUUCUACAGUAGUCACUUUACAUUAUGCAUCUGCAUCUCAAAUACAUAGGCUAAAAUCUAAUAAACAUCAGUAUAAUAAAAAAUGUUUGCAUAUCUAUUUCUUUUUUACCUAAAAUGAUUUGCUGUUAUUUAGAUGCAUAAAUCAUACAAUAUUGAUUCCCUUUAUUGUGAGUGAUUAAUCAUAACCAGUCUCUACAUAAGAUGGUGGAAUUUUUAGAUUU
rnacentral:lncRNA from 1 species